rnacentral:rRNA from 1 species
GGACGAACGCUGGCGGCGUGCCUAACACAUGCAAGUCGAGCGAGGAGAUCCUUCGGGAUGAUCCUAGCGGCGGACGGGUGAGUAACACGUGGGCAACCUGCCUCAUAGAGAGGAAUAGCCUUCCGAAAGGGAGAUUAAUACCUCAUAACAUUGCAGUUUCGCAUGAAACAGCAAUUAAAGGAGCAAUCCGCUAUGAGAUGGGCCCGCGGCGCAUUAGCUAGUUGGUGAGGUAACGGCUCACCAAGGCGACGAUGCGUAGCCGACCCGAGAGGGUGAUCGGCCACAUUGGGACUGAGACACGGCCCAGACUCCUACGGGAGGCAGCAGUGGGGAAUAUUGCACAAUGGGGGAAACCCUGAUGCAAGCAACGCCGCGUGAGUGAUGACGGCCUUCGGGUUGUAAAGCUCUGUCUUCAGGGACGAUAAUGACGGUACCUGAGGAGGAAGCCACGGCUAACUACGUGCCAGCCGCAGC